rnacentral:ncRNA from 2 species
UUCAUGGGCGGCAUUUUGGGUGAAGGCCGGCCCGGCGGCAACCGGUAUAAUUUCGCCUUCGACAAUACGGAACCCGGUGCGAGUCUGACUCAAUUCCGGGGCGGGCCCGCCGCUGUAACCGGGGACCGAUGCCGCAACAGCCACUGCAAACGGGGAAACAGACCCGGCGGGAAGGCGCGGCCAAGGGACGAUCCGGAAGCCAGAAGACGUGUCGAAACUUCAUUUCGAAG